UACGUAGGGAGCAAGCGUUGUCCGGAAUCAUUGGGCGUAAAAGCGCGCGUAGGCGGCUCGAUCAGUCUGUUGUGAAAGUCAAAGGCUCAACCUUUGAAUGCCGAUGGAUACUGUCGAGCUAGAGUCCGGAAGAGGCGGGUGGAAUUCCUGGUGUAGCGGUGGAAUGCGCAGAUAUCAGGAGGAACACCAACGGCGAAGGCAGCCCGCUGGGACGGUACUGACGCUAAGGCGCGAAAAGCGUGGGGGAGCGAAACAGG
rnacentral:rRNA from 1 species